rnacentral:rRNA from 1 species
UACGUAGGGUGCGAGCGUUGUCCGGAUUUAUUGGGCGUAAAGAGCUCGUAGGCGGUUUGUCGCGUCUGCUGUGAAAACCCGAGGCUCAACCUCGGGCCUGCAGUGGGUACGGGCAGACUAGAGUGCGGUAGGGGAGAUUGGAAUUCCUGGUGUAGCGGUGGAAUGCGCAGAUAUCAGGAGGAACACCAAUGGCGAAGGCAGAUCUCUGGGCCGUAACUGACGCUGAGGAGCGAAAGCAUGGGGAGCGAACAGG